ensembl:snRNA U1 U1 spliceosomal RNA
AUAUUUCCCUGGCAGGGGAGAUACCAUGAAGGUGGUUUUCCCAGGGUGAGGCUGACCCGUUGCUCUCCGGAUGUGCGGACCCCUGCCAUUUCCCCAAGUGUGGGAAGCCCGACUGCAUCAUUUGUGGUAGUGGGGGCUGCGUCUGCACUGUCCUCUA